rnacentral:sRNA from 1 species
AGCUGUGAGAAAAAAA